CUUUUAGGCAUCGGUUUCCAGAUCACAGGGAGUCACAGAGGACCUGGAGGAGAGAAUCCUGUGUGUGCUGGAGAUCCCGAACUGUGGCGGAGGCCCCAGGAGGCAGUGAUGGUGUGGACUCAGCUGCCUCUCCGGGAAGCAGCUGCUGACUGGAUACAGAUGUCCAAGGCCAAUGAGGAAGCCAUGUGUCAAAGAUGGCAGGGGGCAGGGCAUGGUGGCUUACACCAGUAAUCCCAGCACUGUGGAAGGCUGAAGCAGCUGGAUCACUUGAACCCAGGAGUUUGAGACCAGCCUGGGCAACAUAGUGAGACACCAUCUCUACAAAGAAUUUAAAAACUGGGCCAGUCGUGAUGGCUCACGCCUGUAAUCCCAGCACUUUGGGAGGCUGAGGCAGGCAGAUCACAAGGUCAGGAGUUCGAGACCAGCCUGGCCAACACAGUGAAACCCUGUCUCCACUAAAAAAUACAAAAAAUUAGCUGGGCGUGGUGGCAGGCGCCCAUAAUCCCAGCUACUCGGGAGGCUGAGGCAGGAGAAUCGCUUGAACCCAGGAGGCGGAAGUUGCAGUGAGCCGAGAUCGCACCAUUGCCCUCCAGCCCGGGCAACAGUGUGAUGAGACUCCAUCUAAAAAAUAAAUAAAUAAAUAAAUAAAUAAAUAAAUAAAUAAAUAAAUAAAAUAAAAAACUAGCUGGGCA
rnacentral:lncRNA from 1 species